rnacentral:rRNA from 1 species
ACGGGGGGUGCAAGCGUUGUUCGGAAUUAUUGGGCGUAAAGGGCGUGUAGGCGGCUGAAUAAGUCAGAUGUGAAAUCCCUGGGCUUAACCCAGGAAGUGCAUUUGAAACUAUUCAGCUUGAGUAGGGGAGAGGAAAGUGGAAUUCCUGGUGUAGAGGUGAAAUUCGUAGAGAUCAGGAGGAGCACCGGUGGCGAAGGCGACUUUCUGGCCCUAUACUGACGCUGAGACGCGUGAGCGUGUGUAGGAAGCUG